rnacentral:rRNA from 1 species
CCGGCAUCGGGAAGAGGGAAAAGGAGCAAUCCGCUUUGAGAUGGCCUCGCGUCCGAUUAGCUGGUUGGUGAGGUAACGGCCCACCAAGGCGACGAUCGGUAGCCGGACUGAGAGGUUGAACGGCCACAUUGGGACUGAGACACGGCCCAGACUCCUACGGGAGGCAGCAGUGGGGAAUAUUGCACAAUGGGGGAAACCCUGAUGCAGCGACGCCGCGUGGAGGAAGAAGGUCUUCGGAUUGUAAACUCCUGUUGUUGAGGAAGAUAAUGACGGUACUCAACAAGGAAGUGACGGCUAACUACGUGCCAGCAGCCGCGGUAAAACGUAGGUCACAAGCGUUAUCCGGAAUUACUGGGUGUAAAGGGAGCGCAGGCGGGCGAUCAAGUUGGAAGUGAAAUCCAUGGGCUCAACCCAUGAACUGCUUUCAAAACUGGUCGUCUUGAGUAGUGCAGAGGUAGGCGGAAUUCCCGGUGUAGCGGUGGAAUGCGUAGAUAUCGGGAGGAACACCAGUGGCGAAGGCGGCCUACUGGGCACCAACUGACGCUGAGGCUCGAAAGUGUGGGUAGCAAACAGGAUUAGAUACCCUGGUAGUCCACACCGUA